AUGGUUCUGGGAGUUUGCGUCUUGGCCCUGAAGUGCCGCCUGCGGCCAGGACAGAGCCGGGUGGAGCCUCCACUGAGGAUACAGCAGGAAGUUGUGACUGAAAACAGGAAUAGCCAGUAUUCAUGGAUGUCCCAGUUGAGGAGUCACAGCCACGACGUUCCUCUGGCCCUCGCCCUGGCUGACAGCCUGCUGCUGUGUGUGCUUCAGGAGCCCCUGUUGGACCCCAGCGUGCCCCACAUAAAGGCCCUCCUCGCCAGACUGGAGUCAGUGUCUCACACACUUGAGAAGGCUGAUGCUGGGUCAGAGGGGACAUUGGAGGAGACGGACCGAGACUCUCAACUGACAGACAAAGUGAAGCUCAUCCGUAACUUCGUGCAGCAGAGGUGA
rnacentral:lncRNA from 1 species